GUACUCACUUCAGCAGCACAUAUACUAAAAUUGGAAUGAUACAGAGAUUAGCACGGCCCCUACGCAAGAUGACAUGCAAAUUUAUGAAGCGUUCCAUAUUUAA